CAGUAGCCGCGGUAAUACGAAGGGUGCAAGCGUUAAUCGGAAUUACUGGGCGUAAAGCGCGCGUAGGUGGUUUGGUAAGAUGGAUGUGAAAUCCCCGGGCUCAACCUGGGAACUGCAUCCAUAACUGCCUGACUAGAGUACGGUAGAGGGUGGUGGAAUUUCCUGUGUAGCGGUGAAAUGCGUAGAUAUAGGAAGGAACACCAGUGGCGAAGGCGACCACCUGGACUGAUACUGACACUGAGGUGCGAAAGCGUGGGGAGCAAACAGGAUUAGAUACCACUGUAGUCCCUGUCUCUUAUAC
rnacentral:rRNA from 1 species